ensembl:lncRNA
UUAGGGAUAGUGUACAUUUUCAUAAUAUGCAUUGCUAAGAACUUCAUUUGGACAGCUUUAAAGAUGAUUUUCUCAAUAUUUAGAUUUUUUUGCACUCUCAGAUUCCAGAUUUUCAAAUAGUUGUAUCUCGGCCAAAUAUUGUCCUAUCCUAACAAACCAUACAUCAAUGGAAAGCUUAUUUAUUCAGCUUCCAGAGUGGACCCUUGUGGCUGGUUUUGUGGUCCAGGGUCACAUAUAGAUUGGUUCUCCUCUGUCCUGCAGAUGAUGGCCGCUCGUCCUGCGUGGCGCUGGCGUUUGGGCAGCAGCAGGCGGCGGGUUUCAGAUUCCAGAUUUUCAAAUAGUUGUAUCUCGGCCAAAUAUUGUCCUAUCCUAACAAACCAUACAUCAAUGAAAAGCUUAUUUAUUCAGCUUCCAGAGUGGACCCUUGUGGCUGGUUUUGUGGUCCAGGGUCACAUAUAGAUUGGUUCUCCUCUGUCCUGCAGAUGAUGGCCGCUCGUCCUGCGUGGCGCUGGCGUUUGGGCAGCAGCAGGCGGCGGGUUUGGCGCGGGCCGCGACACUGGAGCAGCUCCGAGAGAAGCUGGAGACGGAGGCACCGGAGAGGAAGAUGGCGCGUCUGGCCGAGGAGCAGCAGAGACUCAUGCAGCAGGUCUUCCAGCACAACCUGCUCGCCAUGGCCUCGCAGAUCCCAGUCAACCUGCGGCCCAGAACUUCGGCCCGGGGUCAGUGCGCCCGAUGUUUGUGUGUGUGUGUGUGUGUGUGUGUGUGUGUGUGUGUGUGAGUGUAUGUGUGUGUGUGUGUGUGAGAGAGAAUAUGUGUGUGUGAGUGAGUGAGUGUGUGUGUCUGUGUGUCUGUGUGUGUGUUAAUGAGUGUUUGUGUCUGUAGAUGAGAAGCAGGAUCUGGCCGUGAGCAUUUCCUCCAGUGGAGCGGCGAGUAUCAGCGUGUCAGUGGAAGUCAAUGGCAUCGUUUACUCAGGAACUCUGUUUGCGCAGAAGUCUGCGUCUGCUGCACCUGGACCCAGCUUCACCUUCUCUAGCCCCGCCCCCAGCCAAAGCCCCGCCUCUUCCUCCUCCUCCAAGGGGCGGAGCUCCGCGCAGCCAUCCACCAGCGGCUCUCCGUAACCCGAUUACUGAAAAUCAAACUGUUGCACAACCAGUACCUCAGUUUCUCCUGUCCGCACGUUUGCAAACAUUUACAUGGACACACAUGCAUAAAAUAACACGGCUGGGCCUCAUUCACGAAUCACGAGUUAAUCGUUCAUAUACAGUCUUAUGCAAAAAUCACAAUCAAUUCAAUGCAACAGACUGGAUUGAUGAACGAUCCACAUAGAAAUUCAUGCAUUCGACGUCCGAAAACGCUAAAUACAAUCAGAACGUUCAGCCGAACGACGGGCAGGUUUCACAGAACUUGGAGAUUUUUUAUUUAGAGUGUGUUUCGAUCUGUCUUCUGAUUAUGUUUCGUGACUUUAUGAUCUUUUUCACUCAAGGUUCCUAAUUUUACCUCAGCGGUGGAACGUCUCUUACCUCAGGAUCUGUAGUUUAGGUUUUCUCUGAAUGAGUUUUAUUUUUUUGUAGAAUUGGCUUGAAUUGGUGGGGAUCAGAAACGCUGUGAUUCUCCUCUAUGCGUCGCCCGUCUGGACCCGAGCGUGUGAUCGUUAAUCUAAUAUCUGAAUAUCUGCUGUUCUGCGGCGUGUUUGUUUGAUGAUUUCAGAGCCUGUCUGUCUUCAGGAGCAACCGUCAGAUACCUCAGAAACCAGCUGAAUGUCUCAGUAGUUGUUUAAACGAGCAAGCGGCCUUCUAAGAGAUCUGCAAAAACCAAUCAUUUCAUCUGGAUCUCAGGGCAGGUUUUAUAAAUGUGGGUGAAUCUCGUGAAAAUCUAAAGAAACAUAAUAUGCACAUUUUCA